UGCCAGCCGCCGCGGUAAUACGAAGGGUGCUAGCGUUGUUCGGAAUUACUGGGCGUAAAGAGCAUGUAGGCGGAUGAAUUAGUCAGAGGUGAAAUCCCUCAGCUCAACUGAGGAACUGCCAUUGAUACUGGCGGACUUGAGUACGGACGAGGUAGGCGGAAUUUAUGGUGUAGCGGUGAAAUGCAUAGAUACCAUAAAGAACACCGAUAGCGAAGGCAGCUUACUAGACCGUAACUGACGCUCAGGCACGAAAGCGUGGGGAGCGAACAGGAUUAGAUA
rnacentral:rRNA from 1 species